GACGAACGCUGGCGGCGUGCUUAACACAUGCAAGUCGAACGGAAAGGCCCUGCUUGCAGUCUACUCGCGUUGCCAACGGGUGAGUAACACGUGGGUGAUCUGCCCUGCACUUCGGGAUAAGCCUGUGCAACUAGGUCUAAUACCGGCUAGGUGCCAUUUUUAAUCUUAUGGUUGGAUAGUUUUUUCGGUGUUGGGUGAGUUGGGGGCGUAUCUGCUUGUUGUUGUGGUAAUGGCCUACCAAGGCGGCGGCGGGUAGCCGGCCUGGGAGGGUGGACGGCCACAUAGGGACUGAGAGACGGCCCAGACUCCGACGGGAGGCAGAAGUGGGGAAUAUUGCACGAGGGGCGCAAGCCUGAUGCAGCGACGCCGCGGGGGGGAUGACGGCCUUCGGGUGGUAAACUCCUUUCGCAAGGGACGAAGCUUUUUGUGACGGUACCUAGAUAAGAAGCACCGGCUAACUACGUG
rnacentral:rRNA from 1 species